rnacentral:misc_RNA from 1 species
GGGGUGGGCAGCCGGACAGAGAUUGCCCCCCUCCCCUCGUACUUAAUAAGCCGGAUCCGUGCUAUAAUCAUGGCCGGGAGCUCAGAUUCGACCUGGAGACGAGACUCUGGAUGGCAACAAGUGUCAGGUGAACAACAUUGCCGCCUAGAGGGAUUUGUGUACUGGCUGAACGACAAGACCGGCCUGGAGAGGAUCACUGUCAACUUCUGUCAAAGUUCAGUGACAUCCGGGCCGUGUGGAGACCGGAUGCGCAAUCACACGUAUCUGCACAGUCGCACAAAGUGUUUCCACAUCUGCAUGGCCAGUGGGGUGUGACACUCCCCUCCCCAGCGCCAAGGCUCUCGUUUGCGUUGUCCACGAUGAGGCCGAAGCUGCAAGCGGCCAGGAGAGUUUUAGUGUCCGAUCAAAAAGCUGUGCAUAUCGGCCGCCCUGAUCUGCGAUGUCCGGGAACUGUGUCGAUGGUGCAGACUGAUGACAGUCCACCGUUGAGUCCCAUUCCAACGCAUACUUUAAGCAGUAUCUUCACAUUUUCAAAAGUAUAUUUAAGAACAAAUGGUGUAUGAAGAAAUCCAAUAAAAGCAAGUAUUUAAAA